GGCAUCGUGGCUUAGUUGGUUAAAGCGCCCGUCUAGUAAACAUGAGAUCAUGAGUUCGAAUCUCGUCGAUGCCG
rnacentral:tRNA from 1 species